rnacentral:rRNA from 1 species
AUUGAACGCUGGCGGCAUGCCUUACACAUGCAAGUCGAACGGCAGCACGGGUGCUUGCCCCUGGUGGCGAGUGGCGAACGGGUGAGUAAUACAUCGGAACAUGUCCUGUAGUGGGGGAUAGCCCGGCGAAAGCCGGAUUAAUACCGCAUACGAUCUACGGAUGAAAGCGGGGGGCCUUCGGGCCUCGCGCUAUAGGGUUGGCCGAUGGCUGAUUAGCUAGUUGGUGGGGUAAAGGCCUACCAAGGCGACGAUCAGUAGCUGGUCUGAGAGGACGACCAGCCACACUGGGACUGAGACACGGCCCAGACUCCUACGGGAGGCAGCAGUGGGGAAUUUUGGACAAUGGGCGAAAGCCUGAUCCAGCAAUGCCGCGUGUGUGAAGAAGGCCUUCGGGUUGUAAAGCACUUUUGUCCGGAAAGAAAUCCUUGGCCCUAAUACGGUCGGGGGAUGACGGUACCGGAAGAAUAAGCACCGGCUAACUACGUG